rnacentral:lncRNA from 10 species
GAAUUUGAAAACUCAGCAUUAUCAAAGGCUUCUCUCUGCUCUGCCAGCCUUAGCUUUUUGGCUCACUCCCCUUGGUCACAAGACCACUGCUCUGGAAGCACAUUUUCACACACAAACAUCGGAAAGCAGAAAACAAGCAAACACAACCCUGCCUCUUCCUUGGAUCUCUUUAAGACCUAGGAAAUCUUCUCCAGGAGCCUCCUUGAAACCUGCUCCCUCUACCAUUUCAUUGGCCUGAACCAGCGGUUCUCAGUAUGCGGUGCUUGGACCAGCAGCAGCAACAUCACCUGAGAACUUGUUAGAAAUACAAAUUCUUCCAGCCUGGCCAAAAUGGUGAAAACCCGUCUCUACUAAAAAUACAAAAAUUAGCUGGGCGUGGUGGCGGACGCCUGUAAUCCCAGCUACUCAGGAGGCUGAGGCAGGAGAAUCGCUUGAACCCAGGAGGCGGAGGUUGUAGUGAACCGAGAUUGCACCAUUGCACUCCAGCCUGGGGGACAGGGUGAGACUCCAUCUCAAAAAGAAAAAAAAAAAGAAAAGAAAUGCAAAUUCUUGGCCCACCCUGGACCCACUGAGUCAGAACAUGGGGCUGAUUCUGAUGCUCAAGUUUGAGAACCACUGACCUAAGCCAACUACAUGACAAGGGAUCACUUGUUCUGGAGGAAGCCCUCUGCCAUGUUGUGAUUACUCAAGCAACCCUAGGGCGAGGUCUGUUUCCUGAGGAACUGAGGCCUCCUGCCCACAGCCAUGUGAGUGCACCACCUUGGAAGCAGAUUGUUCGGCCCCAGUCAAGCCUUCAGCUGGUUACAGCCUAGGACUCAUGAGAGACCCUGAGCCAGAACCACCCACCUAAGCUGCUCAAGAAUUCCUGACCUACAGAAACUAGGAACUAAUGUUCGAUUUUUUAAGGCAACAAGUUUUGGGAUGGUUUGUAAUGCAGUAAUAGAUAUCUAAUGGACAUCCCUAGUAGAAUUGUCUGCUUGGCUCCCAGGGAUACACAAAUUUCAGUCUUACUUUACAGCCUUCUCUUCUUCCCAAAACAGAAAUGAUUCCUCAAUUGGGGUAUAUUCAGGGUAACUUAAUCCAC